AACGAACGCUGGCGGCAGGCCUAACACAUGCAAGUCGAACGCCGUAGCAAUACGGAGUGGCAGACGGGUGAGUAACACGUGGGAACGUACCCUUCGGUUCGGAAUAACUCAGGGAAACUUGAGCUAAUACCGGAUACGUCCGAGAGGAGAAAGAUUUAUCGCCGAGGGAUCGGCCCGCGUCUGAUUAGCUUGUUGGUGAGGUAACGGCUCACCAAGGCGACGAUCAGUAGCUGGUCNGAGAGGAUGAUCAGCCACAUUGGGACUGAGACACGGCCCAAACUCCUACGGGAGGCAGCAGUGGGGAAUAUUGGACAAUGGGCGCAAGCCUGAUCCAGCCAUGCCGCGUGAGUGAUGAAGGCCCUAGGGUUGUAAAGCUCUUUUACCCGGGAAGAUAAUGACUGUACCGGGAGAAUAAGCCCCGGCUAACUUCGUGCCAGCAGCCGCAGUAAU
rnacentral:rRNA from 1 species